rnacentral:rRNA from 1 species
GACGAACGCUGGCGGCGUGCUUAACACAUGCAAGUCGAACGGUAAGGCCCUUCGGGGUACAUGAGUGGCGAACGGGUGAGUAACACGUGGGUGAUCUGCCCUGCACUUCGGGAUAAGCCUGGGAAACUGGGUCUAAUACCGGAUAGGACCACUGCCUGCAUGGGUGGUGGGGGAAAGCUUUUGCGGUGUGGGAUGGGCCCGCGGCCUAUCAGCUUGUUGGUGGGGUGAUGGCCUACCAAGGCGACGACGGGUAGCCGGCCUGAGGGGGUGACCGGCCACACUGGGACUGAGAUACGGCCCAGACUCCUACGGGAGGCAGCAGUGGGGAAUAUUGCACAAUGGGCGCAAGCCUGAUGCAGCGACGCCGCGUGAGGGAUGACGGCCUUCGGGUUGUAAACCUCUUUCAGCACCGACGAAGCGCAAGUGACGGUAGGUGCAGAAGAAGGACCGGCCAACUACGUGCCAGCAGCCGCGGUAA